rnacentral:rRNA from 1 species
GAUUAACGCUAGCGGCAGGCCUAAUACAUGCAAGUUGAACGGCAGCACAGGUAGCAAUACUGGGUGGCGAGUGGCGCACGGGUGCGUAACACGUAUGCAACCUACCCUAUACAGGCGAAUAACCUUUAGAAAUGAGGGCUAAUACGCCGUAGUAUUACAGAUGGGCAUCUAUUUGUAAUUAAAGAUUUAUCGGUAUAGGAUGGGCAUGCGUCCCAUUAGUUAGUUGGUAAGGUAACGGCUUACCAAGACGAUGAUGGGUAGGGGAUCUGAGAGGACUUACCCCCACACUGGUACUGAGACACGGACCAGACUCCUACGGGAGGCAGCAGUAAGGAAUAUUGGGCAAGGGCCGCGAGGCUGACCCAGCCAUGCCGCGUGCAGGAAGACGGCCUUAUGGGUUGUAAACUGCUUUUAUACGGGAAUAAUAGAGUGUACGCGUACAUUUAUGCAAGUAUCGUAUGAAUAAGCAUCGGCUAACUCCGUG